rnacentral:misc_RNA from 1 species
UGAAUUUGUUCCCAACAAAAGCCUAGACUACUUUCUCUUCGACCCUGAAAAGCAAGGACGAUUGGAUUGGAGAAGACGUUACAAAAUAAUAGGAGGAAUAGCUGCCGGUUUUCUUUAUCUUCACGAGGAUUCUCGACUUAAAAUUAUACAUCGGGAUCUUAAAGCUAGCAAUAUUUUGUUAGAUGAAGAUAUGAAUCCAAAGAUAUCAGAUUUUGGUUUGGCCAGAAUUUUUGGAGUUGAUCAAAGUCAAGGGAAUACAAGUGUAAUUGCUGGGACAUAGUAAGUAGGCAAUUUUUCCUCUCUGUUCUGGUUACACUAGAUUAGUUAAAAAGUUCUUUUGAUUGUUGAACCAAAACAUUAAAGAGUGAGGGAUCGGAAAGGAUCAUAUUCAUGGUCUUAUUUUCUUCUUCACUCUAAAAAAUUCAAGUUCAGCUUCUCCUUAUCACCAUGUACGCUUUAGUGAGUGUUACUAGAUGUGCUCCGUUCAGUACGAUAUUUACAAACACCUGCAUAGAUAUUAGAUAAUUUUGUUAACUAUUGCAAGUUUAAUUAAAGAUCUAAUCAGUAUAGUAUCCACUAACAUUGUUCUGCCUGUGUUGAUGAUUUAGUGGAUAUAUGUCUCCUGAAUAUGCAAUGCAUGGACAAUUCUCGGUCAAGUCAGACAUGUACAGCUUUGGUGUCUUAGUUCUCGAAAUUAUAAGUGGAAAGAAGAAUAGUUCUUUCUAUCAAAUAGAUGGUGCUGACGAUCUUGUGAGCUAUGUAAGUUUGAAGUUUUUGCCCUUUGUAGAUUAAAUAGAGGCCUAAAGCUAGCUGCAACUACAUGGGCAUAAUUACUUGAAACUUUUGUAGGUAUGGAAACAUUGGAGAAAUGGGACACCUUUGGAAGUGUUGGAUCCAGUUUUGAUAGAUUCACAUUCAAGAAAUGAAGUCUUAAGAUGCAUCGAAAUAGGGUUGUUAUGUGUUCAAGAAGAUCCAGCUGACAGACCAACAAUGGGAACAGUAGUUCUUAUGCUUAACAGUUAUUCUGUUACUCUUCCAGUGCCUCGGCAGCCAGCAUUUGUUCUCAACAGCAGAUCAGGGCAGAGCUUAACAUUAAAGGCGUUGGAGUCGGAUCAAUCUACUAGCAAGUCAGCGCAAUGUUCUGUUGAUGAAGCAUCAAUCACUGAAGUAUAUCCUCGAUAGUCACAAGAUGGGACUUCUCCAAAAAUAAACCAAUGGAACAUCGCUCUUUAGUUGCAGAUUGCCAUCGUUAUAUAUUUAAAUCUUUUUUCUGAAAGUAUUGGAAAUGUUUUACUCUGAAUAAUAGAGGAACUUUCAGCUAGGUGAUCAAGUUAAUUUCAACGAUAUUCCUAGCCAAAAUUGCACUGAAAUACUAUAUCAUCAAAAAGCAAUUUAUUUCUCUGAAUGCAGAAUGUAACCAAAUAAAAAUGCCUAGCAUUUUCUGGCAAUUUACAGAGCCAAAUCGUUUUCAUUGUGAAUUCUUGACGGCUGAUAGUCCAA